UACGGAGGAUCCAAGCGUUAUCCGGAUUUAUUGGGUUUAAAGGGUGCGUAGGGGGCCUGUUAAGUCAGGGGUGAAAGACGGUAGCUUAACUAUCGCAGUGCCCUUGAUACUGAUGGGCUUGAAUGAACUAGAGGUAGGCGGAAUGUGACAAGUAGCGGUGAAAUGCAUAGAUAUGUCACAGAACACCAAUUGCGAAGGCAGCUUACUAUGGUUUUAUUGACACUGAGGCACGAAAGCGUGGGGAUCAAACAGG
rnacentral:rRNA from 1 species